ACGAUGGAAACUUAGAAAGCGAGUUUGGUUU
rnacentral:piRNA from 1 species